UGGUGAGUUUGAGAGUCCUGAAGCAAAUAUCGUACAAGGCCUCGUUGUCAAGAACCAUACACUCAUCAGCAUUCUCAACAAGCUGAUGAACAGACAAGGUAGCGUUGUAAGGCUCAACCACAGUGUCAGAGACCUUAGGGGAAGGGAAGACAGAGAAGGUGAGCAUCAUGCGGUCUGGGUACUCUUCCCUGAUCUUUGAUAUCAACAAAGUCCCCAUUCCAGAUCCAGUUCCUCCUCCCAAGGAGUGGCACACCUGAAACCCUUGGAGGCAGUCACAGUUCUCGGCUUCCUUACGAACAACAUCGAGGACGGAAUCGAUAAGCUCAGCGCCUUCAGUGUAAUGGCCCUUGGCCCAGUUGUUACCAGCACCGGACUGGCCAAAGACGAAGUUAUCAGGACGGAAGGUCUGACCGAAGGGUCCAGAUCUGAGACUGUCCAUGGUUCCAGGCUCUAGAUCCAUGAGCACAGCACGAGGGACGAAUCUUCCACAGCUGGCUUCGUUGUAGUAGACGUUGAUGCGCUCGAGUUGGAGAUCUGAGUCGCCCGUGUAACGACCGGUCGGAUCAAUGCCGUGCUCCGCGCAGACAGUACACAAACAACACACCAUAAUAAGUCAACAAGAUCCAGAGUUUUGUCAAUACAAGCAUAAAGAAACUACAACUGGUACGUUGAGGUUCUCCCCUUUUUAAAGAAAAAAAAAGAAACAAAUAACUAAACUGGUUCAAGAUAACACACUUACUCUCAGUACUACUCCUGUGGGUAUUCUCCCUCUUCCUCGUCCUCGUACUCACCUUCUUCAUCGGCCGUUGCGUCUUGAUAUUGCUGGUACUCUGACACAAGAUCGUUCAUGUUGCUCUCUGCUUCUGUGAACUCCAUCUCGUCCAUUCCUUCACCUGUGUACCAAUGCAAGAAAGCCUUCCUCCUGAACAUAGCUGUGAACUGCUCACUCACACGCCUGAACAUCUCUUGGAUCGAUGUUGAGUUCCCUAUGAAAGUGGAAGCCAUCUUCAGACCAGUAGGUGGGAUAUCACAGACUGUUGAUUUAACAUUGUUGGGGAUCCACUCAACAAAGUAGGAAGAGUUCUUGUUCUGCACGUUCAGCAUCUGCUCAUCCACUUCCUUGGUGCUCAUUUUGCCACGGAACAUGGCAGAGGCUGUGAGGUAACGUCCGUGUCUUGGGUCAGCAGCACACAUCAUGUUCUUGGAGUCCCACAUUUGCUGGGUGAGCUCAGGGACUGUGAGGGAACGGUACUGCUGAGAUCCUCUUGAGGUGAGAGGAGCAAAACCCACCAUGAAGAAGUGCAGACGAGGGAAUGGGAUCAGGUUGACAGCAAGCUUACGAAGGUCGGAGUUAAGCUGACCAGGGAAUCUCAGACAGCAUGUGACACCAGACAUUGUAGCAGAUAUCAGAUGGUUCAGGUCACCAACUGCAAAAAGUGAGAGAACACGUAUAUGAGUUACAUCCUAGCAAACGAAAGCACAAAAACAGAGCUCAAAGAUAUCACUGUAGUAAAGAUCAGAACAGUAAUAUGCCAUUGGUAUGAGAGAUGAAACAAAUCUUACAGCUGGGGGUGGUGAGUUUGAGAGUCCUGAAGCAAAUAUCGUACAAGGCCUCGUUGUCAAGAACCAUACACUCAUCAGCAUUCUCAACAAGCUGAUGAACAGACAAGGUAGCGUUGUAAGGCUCAACCACAGUGUCAGAGACCUUAGGGGAAGGGAAGACAGAGAAGGUGAGCAUCAUGCGGUCUGGGUACUCUUCCCUGAUCUUUGAUAUCAACAAAGUCCCCAUUCCAGAUCCAGUUCCUCCUCCCAAGGAGUGGCACACCUGAAACCCUUGGAGGCAGUCACAGUUCUC
rnacentral:lncRNA from 1 species